AUACGGAGGGUGCAAACGUUGUUCGGAAUCACUGGGCGUAAAGGGCGCGCAGGCGGUUUGAUUAGUCAGAUGUGAAAGCCCACGGCUUAACCGUGGAAGUGCAUUUGAAACUGUCAGACUUGAGUACUAGAGGGGAAAGUGGAAUUCCCGGUGUAGAGGUGAAAUUCGUAGAUAUCGGGAGGAAUACCGGUGGCGAAGGCGACUUUCUGGCUAGAUACUGACGCUGAGGCGCGAAAGCGUGGGGAGCAAACAGGAUUAGAAACCCCUGUAGUCC
rnacentral:rRNA from 1 species